rnacentral:rRNA from 1 species
UACGUAGGAUGCGAGCGUUAUCCGGAAUUACUGGGCGUAAAGGGAGCGCAGGCGGGACUGCAAGUUGGAUGUGAAAUGCCGCAGCUUAACUGCGGAGCUGCAUCCAAAACUGUAGUUCUUGAGUGGAGUAGAGGCAAGCGGAAUUCCGAGUGUAGCGGUGAAAUGCGUAGAUAUUCGGAGGAACACCAGUGGCGAAGGCGGCUUGCUGGGCUCUAACUGACGCUGAGGCUCGAAAGUGUGGGGAGCAAACAGG